ACAGAGAAGAUGGGGAAUUCAGAGGCUCAAGAGCCAUAUCUGCUAGAGAAAUUAGAAAGCGUGAUUGUGGCUUAAGAAAAAGAGAAGGGAUGGUGUUUUUAUAUGAGGGGGUUGAAGAAAAAGAGACGAAGGUGAUUUGCAUUUGUGUGACAACUGGGGAGGAAGUUGCUUGAUGAGUGGAAAGAAAGGAGGUGGGAGCAAGUCUGAUUGAAGUUGUUGGGAAGUAAGGGGUCUGCAAAGUAUAAUGGGCAAUUGGGCAUGUAAUUAAGACUUAAGGCUCUUUCACAUGGACAGGAACUUUCUAAGACCGACAAGCAGCAGAGGCAGAGGACGAGCCCAACGAAGAACAAGAAAAAUUUCAGUCCACGCGAUUGGACCAACAGUUAGUUAUUGACCUCUAUAAUCAUAAGUAUGGCUAUCAAACGCUGGUAUUCUUGUAUUGCUAAUUAAAACUGUCAUCCAUACUUUGUUG
rnacentral:misc_RNA from 1 species